GAGACACCAAGAGAUGGAUGAGACACCGAAAAGAGAUGGAUGAGACACCGAAAGAUGAUGGAUGAGAUACGUACUUCUUCCUUGUUUGUCACUGAAGGAGACAGUCGUAGUGGCAGCUUGGGAGGGCAGAGACAGGAGGAGGUGGAUGGAGAGGUUCCCGGGGGCAGCUGGAGACAGAGAAGACACCAGGCCAGGGACAGGGCACCCUGGAACAGCUGAGACAGAGACAGCAGGAGGACCAGGAGGAGAUGGAGGAGUUGAACCGCAGGAGAGAGGAGAAACGCAGAGCCAGGGAGGAGGAGGAGCACCAGAGAGAGAAAGAGGAGCAGCACAGACAGGAGCAGGAGGAGGAGGAGAGGAAGAGGGUGAAAGACGGGAUAGAGAGUAGGAGGAUGGCGGCUUCAGAGAGAAGGAUGAAGAACCUCAGUAUUUCCAGCAUUGAGGGAGACGAGUCCUUCAGCCCCUUCAGUCCCAUGAGCCCCACCUUCAAGGUACUACUGAUGUCCCGGU